rnacentral:lncRNA from 1 species
AACAAUUAAAGUGAGGAAAAGGGACUCUCCUACUUAGGGACUAGUGCACCAGCCUCUUCCCUCCUUCAUAGGAAAGAUGGGGAGGGGAACGAAGGAGGAGAGGAAGGGAAUUGGCAAAAAUCAGCCUCCAGCUGACUCCCAGGCAAUUAUGCCUCCAGCACACACUUACUGAACACUUGCUGUGCAUCAGACACUGGGCAAUGAGUCCACAUUUGCCUCUGGCCCCGGUCACCCUCUUCCACCCUUCUGCUUGUAAAAAUGCACUGAGAACCAGAGUCUGGAGGAGAACGAGGAUUCAGCUGGUCAGUGGACAAAAGAGCCCAAUUAAACCACCAAGCUGCAGCAAACGCGCUCAGGAAGGGCCUCAGCACAGGCCUGGAGCACUGAAGAACGUCUCCUCAAUGCGGGCUUUGGGAACAGCCUUCAGGCAGACAGUGAGGCCCCGCACAGCCUCUGCUCCUGGAAAAGCCCUGAAGGCCUGUGCGAUGUGCCCUUGGGAUGAUACUGGGGUCUCCCAAGGCUCCACCCUAGGUGGGCCCCGUUGCCUCCUCCGUUCACCCUUCCCCAGCCACAUCAGGUACCAGGGCAGUCCCAUCCUCAGAGCAGGCUGCAGGCUGUGAGGCUCCUGGAGCUGGGUCUGUGCUAUCCCGUUAGCCUGGGAUGCUGCCUUCUCCACCCCUCAAUGAUCACAACCCAUCUCUCCCCUCAAGAUGCCAUUCAAACGCUCCUUUUCUGCAGCCCCCGUCUCCUCCUGUUGCGAUCCUAGAGCACAUUGCUUGCAUGUUGCUGAACAGAUGCCCAUCCUGAUCUGGGAUUCAGUAGUGGUCUCCACCACCACCCUUCCCACCAAGCUACUCUGCCACUUCCCUCAAGGGGAGAGACGGGUAGGGGAACUUCGUCUACAGACUGCCUGUCACUUGCCGGGCACCGUGCUGGUUGCUAUAUGAGAAUACCAUUUAAUCCCCGUGUCCACUGCAAGGCAGUCAUUGUCAUACCCAUUUUACAGAUGAGAUUUGCCAAAUAAAGGCAGAGAGCCAGAAUUACAGUUUAAACUCAAGUCUGACUCUUGCAACAACCAUGUUAGU